rnacentral:rRNA from 1 species
AUACGGAGGGUCCGAGCGUUGUUCGGAAUCAUUGGGCGUAAAGCGCGUGUAGGCGGCUUGGCAAGUCGGAUGUGAAAUCCCGGGGCCCAACCCCGGAACUGCACUCGAAACUGCCUCGCUAGAGUCUCGGAGAGGAAGGCGGAAUUCCCGGUGUAGAGGUGAAAUUCGUAGAUAUCGGGAGGAACACCAGCGGCGAAGGCGGCCUUCUGGACGAUGACUGACGCUGAGGUGCGAAAGCUAGGGGAGCAAACAGGAUUAGAAACCCCAGUAGUCC